rnacentral:rRNA from 1 species
CGGGGGGCAGCAGUAAGGAAUAUUGGACAAUGGUCGCAAGACUGAUCCAGCCAUGCCGCGUGAAGGAUGAAGGCCCUAUGGGUUGUAAACUUCUUUUGUACGGGAAAAAACCCCUCUACGUGUAGAGGGCUGAUUGUACCGUAAGAAUAAGGAUCGGCUAACUCCGUGCCAGCAGCCGCGGUAAUACGGAGGAUCCAAGCGUUAUCCGGAUUCAUUGGGUUUAAAGGGUGCGUAGGCGGAAUGAUAAGUCAGUGGUGAAAGCCUGCAGCUUAACUGCAGAACUGCCAUUGAUACUGUCAAUCUUGAGUAUAUUUGAUGUGGGCGGAAUGUGUCAUGUAGCGGUGAAAUGCUUAGAUAUGACACAGAACACCGAUUGCGAAGGCAGCUCACAAAACUAUAACUGACGCUGAGGCACGAAAGCGUGGGUAUCAAACAGGAUUAGAUACCCGAGU